rnacentral:rRNA from 1 species
UACGGAGGGUGCGAGCGUUAAUCGGAAUUACUGGGCGUAAAGGGUGCGUAGGUGGUUUGUUAAGUUAUGUGUAAAAUCCCUGGGCUCAACCUGGGCAUGCCAUAUAAAACUGACAAACUCGAGUAUGGGAGAGGGUAGUGGAAUUUCCGGUGUAGCGGUGAAAUGCGUAGAGAUCGGAAGGAACACCGGUGGCGAAGGCGGCUACCUGGCCUAAUACUGACACUGAGGCACGAAAGCGUGGGGAGCAAACAGG